rnacentral:rRNA from 1 species
CCUACGGGUGGCAGCAGUCGAGAAUCAUUCACAAUGGGGGAAACCCUGAUGGUGCGACGCCGCGUGGGGGAAUGAAGCUCUUCGGAUUGUAAACUCCUGUCAUGUGGGAGUAAAUUAAAAAGCUAGAACCCCAAGAGGAAUAGACGGCUAACUCUGUGCCAGCAGCCGCGGUAAUACAGAGGGCUCAAGCGUUGUUCGGUAUCACUGGGCGUAAAGCGUGCGUAGGCUGUUUCGUAAGUCGUCUGUGAAAGGCGCGGGCUCAACCCGCGAACGGCACAUGAUACUGGGAGACUAGAGUAAUGGAAGGGGAACCGGAAUUCUCGGUGUAGCAGUGAAAUGCGUAGAUAUCGAGAGGAACACUGGUGGCGAAGGCGGGUGCCUGGACAUUAACUGACGCUGAGGCACGAAGGCCAGGGGAGCGAAAGGGAUUAGAUACCCUGGUAGUC